CCCCCACGAAAUGUUCUUCUUCUUCAGGAAGUGUAGAAAUGAACUGGAAGAAUCACAUUUUGAGGGCGAAGUGCUCUCUUGUGGUCUCCACCCGUCUUUAAAGUCUCCUACAGGAGGCGAGCCAUUAUUCCAGACCACGUAAGGGAAAUUCGCUUCGAUGGUAUUAUUCCUAGCUGAUCUCGCCUGUCGCUCAUGCAAUUGGUUAGUGUUCUUUGAGUUGGGUUUAAUUUUCACAAGCUUCGGUAUAGUUCUGCUUGGCAAUUUACUGGAUCGUCUUUGAUUUAAUGGCAUCACCGUUUGUACGUAACCGUGCUUGGUCAAGCAAUCUAAAACAGUGAACAACACGAGAUCAAUCAGACUAUUUAGCAGGAACCUAUAUAACACGGACCUACUUUCACAAUCAAAGAUCACAAAGGACAGUUGAUCCCACACACGGAAAAUCUAAA